CAAAACUAGCCGGACACACGUAAGUUGCGAGUACCGGAAGUUCAGCCUUACACAUA
rfam:Wheat yellow dwarf virus-GPV, complete genome, genomic RNA